rnacentral:rRNA from 1 species
UAGGGAAUAUUGCACAAUGGGCGAAAGCCUGAUGCAGCAACGCCGCGUGAGCGAUGAAGGCCUUCGGGUCGUAAAGCUCUUUUUGAGGAGAUGAGGAAGGACAGUAUCCUCAGAAUAAGGAUCGGCUAACUACGUGCCAGCAGCCGCGGUAACACGUAGGAUCCGAGCGUUAUCCGAAUUUACUGGGCGUAAAGCGCGUGCAGGCGGUUUGAUAAGUUGGAUGUGAAAGCUCCCGGCUCAACUGGGAGAGGCCGUUCAAAACUAUCAGACUUGAGGGCGGUAGAGGGAAGUGGAAUUCCCGGUGUAGUAGUGAAAUGCGUAGAUAUCGGGAGGAACACCAGUGGCGAAAGCGGCUUCCUAGACCGCUCCUGACGCUCAGACGCGAAAGCUAGGGGAGCGAACGGGAUUAGAAACCCCGGUAGUCCUAGCUGUAAACGAUGUGAACUUGGCGUUGGUGGGGUAAAAGCCAUCAGUGCCGAAGCUAACGCGAUAAGUUCACGCCG